UACAGAGGUCCCAAGCGUUGUUCGGAUUCACUGGGCGUAAAGGGUGCGUAGGUGGUUGGGAAAUUUGAUGUGAAAGCUCGGAGCUUAACUCCGAAAUGGCAUUGAAUACUUCUUAACUUGAGGGUCGGAGGGGAGACUGGAAUUCUCGGUGUAGCAGUGAAAUGCGUAGAUAUCGAGAGGAACACCAGUGGCGAAGGCGAGUCUCUGGACGACUCCUGACACUGAGGCACGAAAGCUAGGGGAGCAAACCAGG
rnacentral:rRNA from 1 species